UCGCCUGUUUUAACAAAAACAUGUCCUCUAGUAUAUUUGUUUGAGGUCUGACCUGCCCGAUGAUGUUUUUUGAAUGGCCGCGGUAUUUUGACCGUGCAAAGGUAGCAUAAUCAUUUGUCUUUUAAUUGAAGGCUGGUAUGAAUGGUUGGACGAGAAAUAGACUUUCUUUAUUUUAUUAAUAAGAAUUUUAUUUUUGAGUCAAAAAGCUCAGAUUUUUUUAUGGGACGAGAAGACCCUAUAGAAUUUUAUAGGUUUUAUUUAAUAUUAGUUUUGUUUAUUUUUUAUAUUAUUUAUAUUCUAUUUUGUUGGGGUGACAGGAAAAUAUUUUUAACUUUUCUUUUUAUUUUUCAUUAAUUUAUGUUUUUUUGAUCCAUUUUUAGUGAUUAUAAGAUUAAAUUACCUUAGGGAUAACAGCGUAAUUCUUUUGGAGAGUUCUUAUCGAUAAAGGAGUUUGCGACCUCGAUGUUGGAUUAAAA
rnacentral:rRNA from 1 species